CAGCUGUCAGAGCCGCCGGGGCCGCCCGUCUCACUGAUUGAACAGUAGCAGCAGCGCAGCCAGGGCUGGAGCCCGAGCGCAGAAGCCGACGGGCCGGGCCGGGAUGGUGCAGCGGCGGCUCCGCGGCGCGCGCACGCACUGAGCGGGCCCGGGCUGGGCCUCGCGUCCCCCGCGCCCCCCGCGCCCCCCGCCGCCCCGGUCCUGGCGGGCAUGAUGUGCCUGGAAUGCGCCUCGGCGGCGGCGGGCGGCGCGGAGGAGGAGGAGGCGGACGCCGAACGGCGGCGCCGGCGCCGGGGGGCGCAGCCAGGGGCUGGAGGUAGCGCUUGCUGCGGGGCGCGGGGUGUUGGGGGCGCUGGAGUCGUGUCCGCGGACGAAGAGGUGCAGACGUUGUCCGGCAGCGUGAGGAGGGUCCCGUCCGGACUCCCCAGCAUCCCCAGUACCCCGGGCUGCGCAGCCGCUGCCAAGGGCCCCGGCGCGCCGCAGCCCAAACCCGCCAGCUUGGGCCGAGGGCGGGGGGCAGCCGCUGCCAUCCUGAGCUUGGGCAACGUGCUCAACUACCUGGACAGGUACACUGUGGCAGGUGUUCUUCUGGACAUCCAGCAGCACUUUGGGGUCAAGGACCGGGGCGCUGGCUUGCUGCAGUCAGUGUUCAUCUGCAGCUUCAUGGUGGCUGCCCCCAUCUUUGGCUACCUGGGCGAUCGCUUCAAUAGAAAGGUGAUCCUCAGCUGCGGCAUCUUCUUCUGGUCGGCCGUCACCUUCUCUAGUUCUUUCAUCCCUCAGCAGUACUUCUGGCUGCUGGUCCUGUCCCGGGGGCUAGUAGGUAUUGGUGAAGCUAGCUAUUCCACCAUAGCACCCACCAUCAUCGGCGACUUAUUUACCAAGAACACACGCACACUGAUGCUAUCAGUCUUCUAUUUUGCCAUCCCUCUGGGCAGUGGCCUGGGCUACAUCACAGGUUCCAGCGUGAAGCAGGCAGCUGGAGACUGGCAUUGGGCCCUGCGGGUUUCCCCUGUCCUGGGCAUGAUCACAGGAACACUCAUCCUCAUCUUGGUCCCAGCCACUAAGAGAGGCCAUGCUGAUCAACUUGGGGGGCAGCUCAAAGCACGGACCUCCUGGCUCCGAGACAUGAAGGCCCUGAUCCGGAACCGCAGUUACGUCUUCUCCUCCCUGGCCACAUCCGCUGUGUCCUUCGCCACAGGAGCCCUGGGCAUGUGGAUUCCCCUCUAUCUGCACCGUGCUCAAGUUGUACAAAAGACAGCAGAGACUUGCAACAGCCCGCCCUGUGGAGCCAAAGACAGCCUCAUCUUUGGGGCCAUUACCUGCUUUACUGGCUUUCUGGGCGUAGUCACAGGCGCGGGAGCCACUCGCUGGUGCCGCUUGCGCACUCAGCGCGCUGACCCCUUGGUGUGCGCCGUGGGCAUGCUGGGAUCUGCCAUCUUCAUCUGCCUCAUCUUUGUGGCUGCCAAGACCAGCAUCGUGGGCGCCUAUAUCUGCAUCUUUGUUGGCGAGACACUGCUGUUUUCUAACUGGGCCAUCACUGCAGACAUCCUCAUGUAUGUGGUCAUCCCCACUCGACGAGCCACUGCUGUGGCCUUGCAGAGCUUCACCUCCCAUCUGCUGGGGGACGCUGGAAGCCCCUACCUCAUUGGCUUUAUCUCGGACCUAAUCCGCCAGAGCACCAAGGACUCCCCACUCUGGGAGUUUCUGAGCCUGGGCUAUGCCCUCAUGCUGUGCCCUUUUGUUGUGGUCCUGGGUGGCAUGUUCUUCCUUGCCACUGCUCUCUUCUUCCUCAGCGAUCGUGCCAAGGCUGAGCAGCAGUCCCUGCCCAGCGCCUCCGGUCUACCGGCCCCAGUGAUUCGAUGUGCCAGAGCCGUGCCUGGGCCCAGUCCCCGCUGAUGUGCCACCCUGACCCCCGUCCGUCUCUCCCUCAGGGUGAACCAGCUGGUGAUGCCGCCUGCAUCCGUGAAAAUCUGAGGUGGUGCCGCUGGGACAGCAAUGAACUGCAGUUUAGAUUGGGAGAGGUUCUCCAGCAUCCUGGACCUGCAGGACGGUCGCAAAGCUUCCUGUGUGACUCACAGUUGGGUACACACCCUCUUUGGCCUAGGACUGCCAGGACUGAGUGGCCCUAUCUUCAAGAAGCUGCAUCCUCAGUGAACCUAGAAGGCUGUGUGUGCUGGAGUCACUCAGUUGGACACAACUCCAGCCCUGGUUGGGGGCUGAAGGGCCAAGAUAGAAGCAGCCACCCUGCAGUGGGUAUUUGGGGAGAUUCUGGUCCACCCUUAGCUCAUGUGAUCUUGAGGGAGCCACUAUCCUCCCUAGACAGUGGAACCAAGGAGCUGGAGCUUCCUCCAUUGUGUGCCAUGCAUGGCACCCUCCACAACUUUGAAGAAACAGGCCCGGGGCUGUACACAGAAGACACCGCUCAGGUCUCAGGACCUCAGUUCCGGUUCUGAGGUCUGCCUAAGGCUCUGGUGGACGGGGACCACUUCCCCACUUGUAGGCGCUAACCUUGGGAACAGCAAAUUCAGCCUGGCAUGCGUAGCUGGGCACACACCUCUGGGUGUUCGUGGGUGGGACAGUCUCCCAGGAGGAUACUGUCUCUGCUGUCUUCAGCUAGUUCUUUGCCUGGAAGUUUUUCUCAGAUGGGAUCACCCUCCUUAAAGGAAGCUGUAGCCCUAGGGGGUGAAGGCCCCAUGGUAGGCUGAGAAUUUGAGAACCUCCCUUCCUCAUCCCAGCCCCCAAACUUCUGCAGUCCCCCAGAAGUCACCUCCUCCUCCAGGAUGAGCCCUUCCCAAUGAGGGGUCAGAUAGGAUGCUAAAGGACUCACCAGCUGUCCACACUACUCCUCGGCCUAGGUGUGAAACUGCUGGAGAUUGCCCACCAGUGCCUGUAGGUAUCAUACCCCAACUGACUCUCUUGGGGCCAGGCCUUCACCCCAGCCUUUGAUCACACUAUUCCCAUAUACAUACAACCCUCACCCCCCUGCAGCCACCCUAGUCACCUUUGGGCACUUACCCCAGCUUUACUCCUUGCACGCUGUAACCAAGGUGGCUCUGGUCCUGGGGUACCAUUGUAACUUAGGGAAACUUCCAGAACCAGCCAGCGUGGACAACAGUCUCUGUGGCUGUACCCCACUUGCUGUGGCUUCAGUGGUGUGAUACCCACCCCAACAAGUUCUGGGGCACCCUGGGGGUUUGGACAUGGGUUUGCAGAGGGUGCUAUCCCUAAAGACCAGCCUGGCUCCCACCCUAGCCCCAGCAGGGGCCCUAGCAAUGUUUUCUUGUUGUACAAGAACCAGGUCCAAGUGUUGCCUCCUCUUCCUUCCGGAAGCUGAACUGCUCCUUUAUUUUUUAGAGCUGCUGAUUGUGAAUCUCAGAGUCUUAAGAGAGAAGCCAAAUAUAUAUUCCUCUUGUAAAUGAAGAAAUAAACCUAUUUAAAUGUU